GCAGGUGUGGCUAAAUGCCCCCUGAGGUUAACCUCAAACUUAAACUUAGAGCCCUACUUGGUUAGAAGUGAUGUGAAAUGCAGGGCUAGCUUCCAUUCUGGGCAGAGUCGGCAAGUGGGCACACGUCCCUGGCAAGCUAGCAUCCCAAUCAGGUGAGGGGACAGAGAAGGGGGUGGGGAACCAAUGUGUGUUUGACACAUUUGUGAAUUGUUUCUACAACAAAGACUUUUUUAAAACAACAGAGUGAAGCUUUAUAUAUUUGAAUGAGAAGCACACAGAAGGACCUAUUGUCUGGAGGAAAAAUUGCAUGAGUAAUUGUGCAUGACUUCAGACUUCCCAGUUGAAAUGUUAGGCAUAUUAAGGAUGAUUGAGGGCAUUCCAGUGUUUUCAGUGUGGAGAAGAGGGAGGACAGAGCUCCCAGGACUAGGGGAGGGAGGCAGGUUGUGUAGCAAGACAAGGGAGGAAGGAAUCUGAGGAACUCUGUACCCCACUUUGCUCUCUGGUUUCCAUUUUUCCUCUAUUUAAUUGAACUGCCACCUCCUACAGGAAGCCUUCCUGACCCUAUCUCCUUCCUCCACCUGUCACUCUAGGUGUUCUUCUUGAUACAUAUCUCCUGUCUUUUCAUUAUUUACUUGACUAUGAUACUGUGGAUGGGCCAUAGAAAAGAGAGGAUGGACUCCAGAUGCCACUUCCUAGAUGUGUUACCUUGGACAAGUUACUUAGCCUCUCUGUGCCUCAGUUUUCUUGUCUAUAAACAGUAAUACCUUGUAGGGUUGUUGAGAGGAUUAAAUGUGUUAAAACCCAUAAGGAACUGAGAAUAGUGCCUGACAUACAGUGUGCACCCUCAAUAAAUGUUAGCAAUUAUUUAUUUUUAUUUGCAUCCCCUCUUGUUUGCACAGGACCUAAUAUAUCAUGGGGCAGCUGUGUUCAACCCUCAUAUGCAUCUUAAUUGCUUGAGGAGCUUUAGAAAUGUACAGGCCUGGCCUGGGCUCCAUUAAUCUAUGGGUGAAACCUGGUAAUGGUAUUUUGGAAAUGUUCCCUGGGUGGUUUUAUUAUGUAACCAGGUUGAAAACCAGUGUCAUAAAUGCUCAAGGAAUAUUUGUUGAAUGAAUGAAUGAACCAAAUGGGAUCAGAAAGAACAAACCCCAUGCUGGCUUCGGCAGCACAUAUACUAAAAAUUGGAAUGAUACGGAGAAGAUUAGCAUGGCCCCUGCACAAGAAUGACACACAAAUUCAUGAAGUGUUCCAUAUUAAACAUAUAUAUAGAGAGAGAAAGAACAAACCCAGGUUACCCCAUCUUUAGGAAUGUGAAGGCAUGAUGAUUCUGUCUCCUUCAGAAAGUUGAUUCUUCCUGAGACAGGUUUCAAGAGAAAAAU
rnacentral:lncRNA from 1 species